rnacentral:rRNA from 1 species
ACAGAGGGUGCGAACGUUGCUCGGAAUCACUGGGCGUAAAGCGCGUGUAGGCGGACUUGCAAGUCAGGUGUGAAAUCCCUGGGCUCAACCUAGGAACUGCAUCUGAAACUGCUCGUCUUGAGUGUCGGAGAGGGAAGCGGAAUUCCUGGUGUAGAGGUGAAAUUCGUAGAUAUCAGGAGGAACACCGGUGGCGAAGGCGGCUUCCUGGACGAUUACUGACGCUGAGACGCGAAAGCGUGGGGAGCAAACAGG